CUGCUGGUGGUACUGGUUUGUAUAAAUAGCCGUUCAUCUUCCCUCUGAACCAUCAGACAGAGAAAGGAGUCAGAGCAUUGGACACGAUUAACUUGGACACUGUAAGGUUGUCACAGAUAAACUUCUCAAACCAACAUGAAGACAGUCAGAGUUGCAGUUGUUGUGGCCCUCGUGCUCACAUUCGUCUGUUUCCAGGAGAGCUCUGCUGACCCAAACACUGAGGUAAAAGACUUUAAUUGUACUCACUCGUAAGUAUUAACCAUUGAUGUUUUACAAAGAAAGUAAAAUUUGACACAUUCAGCAGGUUCAAGAACUGGAAGAGACUGUGAGCCAUGAGAACCUUGCUGCUGAAGAGCCAGAGACCGCUUGGAGCUCAUGGACGGUAUGUGGAGCUGAAUUCAGCCUGUUAUUGUGAAGAGUUACAAGUGAAAGUGUUUGUUUUUUUCCUCUCUGUCUGAUGCUCUGUCCACUUAAGCAAAGUGACUGAGUGGUCCUGCCAGUGAUGAACACUUUGUUCAUGUCUUUUGUCCUCACACAGCAACCUACUAACGUAAGAUACAAGCGUGGCUCCAAAUGUAAGAUCUGCUGUGGAUGUUGUACCCCUGGUGUCUGUGGAUUGUGCUGCAGGUUCUGAGGACUCAACAAACACAUUUCUUCUGAUUUGUUUCAAAGCCAUUUUACAACAAUGAAUUUACUAACUGUAUUAUUCGAGAUGCAUGAGUGAAUGCUUGUUUUUUAGCUUUGUGACAGUCUUGUCCUCAUGCAAUGUUGGAGAUUUGCAAACUUUGCCAUUCGUCAUAUCAAUAAAAUUGACAUUGCAGUACA